UAUAACUAUAUAAGCAAUAGGCAGAUCAAUUGAUUAGACGAGGAAACUAAAUAGGUAAUCAAAUUACACUAUAGUGUUUAACUUAUUAUCUUGAAAGGGUGAUUAGUAGGGACCAUACCAGUCACAUGCCUAAAUUAUUUUUGGGCCAUCUCAUUUUCUAGUCACUCAUCACGGGGAAGAGAUUAUUGGAAUAUGCUUGUUAUAGACUGUAUAAUACAUGAUAUGCUUGUUAUAUAUACACACUUGUUAUACGAUGUGAAUACUCCUAUAUAUACAAUUUUUAUACACUAUAUUAUAUUACUCCCAUCGUUUGCUUUUACUUGUCGCUAUUUUUUAUUGAAUUUUCCUUUUUGUUUGUCACUUUUGACAUAUGAAGAAAAGACAAGAUAUUUUUCUAUUUUAUCCUUAGUUUUAAUUGUUCAUUCUUCAAACCAUUUUCGACGACAUAUUACUCCAAACAUCAAUCAGUAGAGGUAGUAUGGUAAAAUAGUCAUAUCAAGGGAAAAGUCAUCAUUUCCACCUCAAACUGUACACGAAAAGUCUAGGUCACACCUAAACUAUCAUAGUGUCCUAUUAGACACCUAAACUAUAACAAAGUGGAACUAAUUCCACCCCAAAACGUAAGAACUACUCACAUGAUGGAGAGUGAUUUACACUCGCGCCACAUCAUCGUCAUGUCAUUACCACAUCAGAUAUUAUGUCAAUUUUUUUUAAAAAAAAAUUCACGUCACCCAUUGCUUCUUCUUUACCAAAAUCACCAUUAAAACACCACCAUUAACACCAUCAUCAUCAAACUCAAAUCUUCAUCAUAAUAAUUUUAAGAAUCCACCAUAAAUUUCAUUAUCGGAAUCACAAUACAACCAUUAGUAUCCCAAAAAUCACAAACAAUCACCUUAAAAUUCAACAUACUAUGGUUUUUUGUUGAUUUUUAGCUCAAAAAGAUAACACUGAAUCUUUCAUAUAUACACACAUAUAUAUAAAUAAAGUUGUGUUUUUUGAGACUUUGUUGGUUUAUUUUCAUGAAUUUUGAGGGGUUUCUUGAAAUAAUUCUGGUGGUUAAGGUGCAAGAAUUGUUAUUGUAUACCAUUCAAUAACAAUAGCAGCAACAACCACAACAACGAUAACAAUAUGCCCACUGGUAUAAUUUCUCAAUCAAGACUUCUUCCUCAAUCUCUUGCCAAGAUCAUGUUCAACUCCCCUGGACUUCCUCUUGUCCUUCAAAAAGGCAUGGAAGGACAAAAUGAAGUAACAAGAAUGGUUGAAACAUAUGAGGGAAAUAAGUGUUUGUAGAAGGAGUAGAGAAGAAGAACCAUAGAGUAGAUCUGAAAGUGAUAACUUAGAAGAUGCAUCGGGUGAUGAACAAGAUACUGCCGACAAACCACCAAGGAAGAAAAGAUAUCACUGACACACUCCUCAGCAAAUCCAAGAAAUUCUAAAAAUUAGUAUGUUGUAAUUAUAUUGUGGUUGUUCGUGAUUUUUAUGAUAGUAAUGGUUGUAUUGUGAUUCCGAUAAUGAAAUUUAUGGUGGAUUCUAAAAAUUAUUGUGGUGAAAGAUUUGAAUUUGAUGAUGAUGGUGUUAAUGGUGGUGUUUUAAUGGUGAUUUUGGUGAAGAAGAAACAAUUGAAGUAGGUGGGACCCACAUAUUAAAAUGAAUAAAUAAAUAAAUUUAAUUUUAUUAAUAUU